rnacentral:lncRNA from 1 species
GCACAGAAAGCUCCAGAGGCAGAAAAUGUUGUAGAGGUGGACGUUUAAUCAAAACAAAGACAAAUACUAUGUUUACAGUGUUUCAGAUGCUCUUCUGGGAAAACAUCUAUGUGGAAGCAGAAACGUUUUGCCCAGUCCUGAAGUCCGGAGGAAUGGGAAAUCUCCACUGAGGUUCUCUUAUAGGGUGAGUAAAAUUGUAUUGUUAAUAGCUUUUUAUGUUACUGUGAU